rnacentral:lncRNA from 7 species
AGUGGCUCCUGAAAUGUUUUCCAGAGAGUUUUUAAUGAUAAUAUAAAAUGCAGCUACUUCUCAGAUAAAUAUCCAUCAGAAAUUAAUAACAAAUGCAUCAUGUAGAAGCUCAAUAAGAAGAACCUGCCACCUAUCAUCAUAAAAUGGGAUGCAUUUCAGCAAGAAGACAACAGGAUGUUGACAACAGCAAGAAGACCCAGGAUGUUUCUAAACCUUCGUCAUGUAAUCAUUAAGAUCCACCGAAAAUGCAUAUAUUAUGGGCUGAGCUUCAAAGCUUGGGCUCAUCCAUUCCUUUUCAUGGAAGCACAAGUGUGCUGCAGAAGAUGUCUCUCUCAGAAAACUUUGGCUGUGCUGGAAUAGAGGUGAUCUGUCACACAGCACCCUCUUUGAGGGCUAAGGAUGGUUAACAAGAGAAGAUCCACCCAGUACAGCAGGGCAAGGUGAAUUCUAAACGGUGGUGUGCAGAUUGUUUGCAAGGUGCUCUAUUUAUUACAAUGUGGAAUGCUGUGCAGGAGAGACAGUGAAGGUCUACAAACACUCCAUAAACACCAGGUGUUGGAUUUAUAGCUUUUGUUGCAAUACUUAAAAUCUGAUUUUCUCCAGGUGAAAAUAAAGCAACAGCAAAUCAUGUAGAGUAUAAACUACCACUGAUGAUAGCAGUUUAACAAGUGCAAAAAGAGCAUUAUCAUCAGAAUCAGUGAUGAAGGUCACUGUUAUAGAGAAGUGAGAGAAAAUCCUAAGUAUCUGGUUGCAAAGGAGUUAGGAGUUUCUCCUCAUUUUCAACUAAAAGUUGAAACCUCAUUUAGUUAGCGGUUGAGACACUGUAAUCCUGCCUUUGUAAGAUCUGUCUCCACAGUACUUUACAUUGCUUCAUUUUGUAUUCUAAACUUUUAGUCCAGUUAUCUCUUCUCACAUGGAAACUGCUGUAUGCCUGCACUUGAUUCUUUCUUUUCUACAUUCUUCCCACUUUUAUGUUUUUUUGAUUAAGGAGAAGAGGUAUUCAAGACCAGAGCACCCCUAAGAAGCUACACAGUAGUUACACACUAACAUAUUGAUAUUUUCUCUUUUGUUUCUGUUUCUUUCAGGCGAGCUACAGAACGUAAAAUAUUUAUUCUAAGUUAUCUCAAAUAACUGUAAAAUGUCUUGAGUGUUAAUAAAAUGUAUCAGUUGUGUAAUUUACCCUGUUUUUUUUUUUUUUAAUCCUAUAUUUCAAUUAUCAACUUCUAAUUUCAUUUUCUAUUUUAUUAUCCAGUCACUAAGUAUCAUGACCUCCCUUUCUCACUCUUAUAGACAUCUUUCCUGUUGUAGUAUUUUGGUGAAGGUUAAGUCAGAAUCAUCAGUAACUUCUGUCAGUUCAUUAUAUUUUUUUCUAAAUCAUCUGUGAACACGUGUAAAGGCACAGAUUUCAACUUCCAUUCAUUGUGAAAAGGGUAAUUAUUUCCUACCUUUUAUUCCUACUCAUUAACCAUUUGUUAAUCCAUGGGAGGACUUUUCUUUUUAUCCCAUGACAACUUCAUUUCCUUUGAAGAGAAGCAUUUUCAAAAGCUUUUUGAAAUUCCAAGUAUACUAUUUAUACAAGAGUAUGAAAAGUGUAUUCUUAAAGGAUAUUUUUAAUAAGAGAAAAAUGUGAUUUUCACAUCUGAUUUUUUGUGGCUGUGAUUAUUUCUUUAUGCUCUGUUUGACAAUUUGCUAAUAUUCUAUCCAGGCUUUGGCUGAGAUAGAGUUAAUUUUUGUCAUAGUGCCUGUUAUGAUGACAUGUUUUGGACUGACUUAGGAAAAAAAUAGAAAAAAUAAACAAUGUUGAUAAUAC